rnacentral:rRNA from 1 species
CCUANGGGAGGCUGCAGUCGAGGAUCAUUCGCAAUGCGCGAAAGCGUGACGAUGCGACGCUGCGUGGAGGAUGAAGGCCUUCGGGUUGUAAACUCCUGUCAUUCGGGAUCAAAGUCAUGGGGGCGAAUAGUCCCCAUGAAAGGAUAGUACCGGAAGAGGAAGUCACGGCUAACUCUGUGCCAGCAGCCGCGGUAAUACAGAGGUGGCAAGCGUUGUUCGGAUUUACUGGGCGUAAAGGGUGCGUAGGCGGUUCUGUGUGUCGGACGUGAAAUUCUGCCGCUCAAUGGCAGGGCUGCGUUCGAAACUGCAGAACUUGAGUGCAGGAGAGGAAAGUGGAAUUCUUGGUGUAGCGGUGGAAUGCGUUGAUAUCAAGAGGAACACCGGUGGCGAAGGCGACUUUCUGGAAUGCAACUGACGCUGAGGCACGAAAGUUGGGGGAGCAAACAGGAUUAGAUACCCCUNUANUC